UACGGAGGGUGCGAGCGUUAAUCGGAUUUACUGGGUGUAAAGGGCGUGUAGGCGGGUUUGCAAGUCGGGUGUGAAAGAUUCGGGCUUAACCCGGAGAGGUCAUCCGAAACUGCAGAACUUGAGUACUGGAGAGGAUAGUGGAAUUCCUAGUGUAGCGGUAAAAUGCGUAGAUAUUAGGAGGAACACCAGUGGCGAAGGCGACUAUCUGGACAGUAACUGACGCUGAGGCGCGAAAGCGUGGGGAGCAAACAGGAUUAGAUACCCCCGUAGUCCCUGAG
rnacentral:rRNA from 1 species